rnacentral:rRNA from 1 species
UACGAAGGGGGCUAGCGUUGCUCGGAAUCACUGGGCGUAAAGGGUGCGUAGGCGGGUCUUUAAGUCAGGGGUGAAAUCCUGGAGCUCAACUCCAGAACUGCCUUUGAUACUGAAGAUCUUGAGUUCGGGAGAGGUGAGUGGAACUGCGAGUGUAGAGGUGAAAUUCGUAGAUAUUCGCAAGAACACCAGUGGCGAAGGCGGCUCACUGGCCCGAUACUGACGCUGAGGCACGAAAGCUAGGGGAGCAAACGGGAGUUAGAAUAUCC